UUCCUGAGCACUCUGACUUAGACGCUUUUUUUUUUUAUCUGACUGCAGACGCAAGUUAACAAGUGAAACUAUAACAAAUCAGUGUCGUCAGUCAAACUCAGCCAAGAAUAAAUUUUCUCUGGAAAAGUCAAGUUUUAUAAUGAUCACCACCAAAUCAUGCGUCACUGUUUGACCUUAAAAUCAUUGUACUUUAAGUCAAGAUGACUAUUAAAUCUACAGACUAGGAGUCAUAGAGUUUCCAUUAUGGCUGCAUUCUCAUUGAGGAACCCUACAUGGCACAUUUUGGGGAUUGCUUUGUUUCUCCUACUGGUCUUCCUUCAGAUGAUAACCUCCUUUGUGUACUACGGUGAUGUGUUCAUACAAUCCAAUGAAGUAUCCAUCAGAUUCGGUCAACAUGAGGAAAGAUUCUACAAUGAUUGGCUCCGGAGCUUUUCCACUAGACUGUCCUUCAUGAUAAUUAUUAACAUACUCUGUAAGCUGGUUGUUCUGUGUCUUUAUGUUCCAGUGGUGCUCUUGCUCUUUGCUCUUCUGGCCAUGCUGUUGGCAGCUUAUGCCAAAGACAAAACAACACUCAGGUUCAGCAUGGCUUGUCAGGCUGCAUCCAGCUCGCUCAUCCUGAACGGAUUAAUUUUAUUCCUCCUCAGCCUACAUUCGUCAUAUUUGAAUUGGAAAGACAUGACGCUCUGCUUCUACAUAUAUGUAGGUGUGUCAGUACAGUUGGUGAUCACAGCUCUGCUAACCGCCAUUGUGUCUAAGAAGAAUCCCCCACCUGACUGGGAAUAAACUGGUUCAGACUGUACUUGCUUUAAUGUGGAAGAGACAAUUAUGUUCUCUGUCUUCUUGCUGAUGAAAACCAUGACAAAUUGUAAUUGAGUUUGCUCUUUUUGUUAGAUCAACAAGUUGUAUUGCUGUUACAACGAUGUGUUUGAUUUGUAAAAGAACUUUUCCAUGAGAAGUGAAACCAUGUUUAUGGAUAAAUGCCUAAAAGACUUACAGCCUUUGCUAAGUUCUGCUAUUUGAAAAUGAAUUCAUAUUCUGUGUUGAAACCUACAUUAUAUUAAAAAUGUUUAAAUGCGUUGUCGGAACUGUAACUUUAUUUAGAUGGAAGAAAUGACUGGGAACUUUGAAUGGACAUUUACUCAAAACCUUUGAUCAGGUUGUACCAUAUUAAAGAUUUCACUUCACA